ACAGCAGUCCAGAGGAGCUGAUAUGAGCAAGGAGACCAGAGGCUCUGAUGGCUGCAGGCUCUGAUAGCUGCAGGCUCUGUGGCUGCUGAGGUGCACUUCUCAACACCUUAGCAUCCUGAUUCCUCAAACUCUGUUCCAGCUGCCAUCUGCCCUACACUUACAGAUGUCCUUUCCUUAGAAAGGAGAAUAGGAUAUGCGAAGGACAGGGAAGAGUGCCUAUGAAAGUCCCACCCUGGCAGAAAAACUGGGCUCCAGUGGUUCUGAAGUUUUAUCCUGUUUAGAUGCAGCUAUUCUCAGAGGAUUGUGAUGAAGAGAAGGGAUUUGACGUCUGAGAAGGCUCAUCCAGAUAUUCAUGUGGAAACAUGCAGAGUGGGAGCAGCUCAACACACCACAUUAGAACCAAAGCCCUUCAGAAUUUCUACUGAUAGGAGAUAGCCAGCAGCUUCUAGAGGCACUGUUUGGUACUUAAAUGCAUGUCUAAAUGCAGAAACCUGACAUUAGCCACUGAAGAUAUUUAGAGAAACUUCCUUGCAAUAUCAUCAUACCUCAAUCAGGUCAAGGAGUAUGUAACUGCAAUUUCUUCUCUGCUCAGACAGCUUUAAAGGGCUUAGGUUAAUACAAACUACAGUGAUGAUUAUUCUGAAUUGAAGACUUGUCUCUAGGACCAAAAUACUUUCUUUUUAGGAACACUAAGGAGUCUGAUAUAUUGUACCUAAAUGCAUAUGCCAUCUGUCCUGGUCAUCAUAGUCAUAUGUUCCAUCAUUUAAUAUUGCCACAUUCCACAAGUUGCUUUACAAGUUAAAUUGAUUGGGAUGACCCAUAUAAGCUGUGAAAAUCUACAGGUCAGUGUGGAAGAAAGCAGCAAGGAGCAACAAGAAGCAUUCCUGCCCAAAGAAAACAUGCUCCCCACUACAGAUUUGGUAUGUAGGAAAUGAAGAACUGUACCUCCCUUUCCCCUCAGUACUCACAUUAAUUUUGAGAGGCAUAUCACAGCUCAGCAGCCACCACUGAAGAGAUGGAAAGAAAGCAAGUGGACAAGAGGCAAAGAGGCAUUUGCAGAUAGCAUGAAGCAGUGGAGGGCUGAAAGAGUUUGAAGACAAACUUCUUCAGAGGGAGUUCCCAUUGCCAAAUCAUCCAUGUUGAGACUGUGGGAGGGGUGAGAAGGUCAGUGCCACACAUGGCAAGAAGGCAACACUGUAGAAGGCAGUGUCCGAACAAACUGAGGGAAUGAGGGGAUGGCUGUGAUGUGGUGGCUGUACUUUGCAUAUUAGAGAAAGCAUUGAUGAGAAAAUACACUAUUUGGAGUGCUGGAAUUGAUGGCAGGAGAACAAAAACAAGUCAGAGUUGAAAGGAGACAAAGGGAUCAUUUUAGUAUUGGGCAAAGCAAGGUACUGAUCAGUACACAGCACUGAGCAUAGCAAGACCACCAGAUGGGAGAUUACAGAACAAGCGUGAUAUUCCUAUUUAUUUCUGCUCACUGUAGAAAUACCAUAUAGACGUUAAGUUGCUUCUUAAUCUCAUCCACUUAUUAUUUUUCCAUCUAAUUACAAAAUAUGAAAAUUUGAAUUAGUAGAACAUUUAUGCAUUACAGAUUUAUUUAUCCAAGGUUGGCUACAGCAAGCUGCAAGGGAAUUAUUCAAAAAAUUCAAAGUGGAACAUUGAUUAAGGAUUCCUUGGGAAAUAAAGUCAUGACUUAAGGGAACAAAAUCCACUUUGAGGAAGCUCUCAAGAGCAGAGAGUCAUCAAAUUUGUUAAAAUCUGACUCAAAUUCAAUAAAGCUUUCAUGAAAUGAGCACACCUGUUCUGUAGCAGCUGUAUGCACACAGAAAAUUUUGAAAAUUGUUCCGCUUAGAAGGAAUUGUGCCAAAUGUCCUAUAUUUCAUCUUUCUCCCAUUUCGACAUACUGAUAUAAAAAGUAACAUCGUUGUUUCUCAGAAUUUUAGGUUUCUUCUGCUGCUGAUUACUCAGUUGAAGUCAUACUUCUCUGUAAUGACAAUAAUUUAACUAGAACUACAUUUGAUGUUAUGAACAACAUGUAAUUAGUCACAGAAGAUGAUCAGCUCUCAAAAAGCAAACUGUUUUCAUUCAGAGGCUCCUCUCUGAGGAAAGAAUGACAAUAAAAGUUGUAAGAUG
rnacentral:lncRNA from 1 species